UCCUGACCUCAAUAAGCUUCCUGAAGAGCUGCUAUUACUGCUUUAGUAACUCUUUUACUUUGUUUGGCUUUUGAAGUGUCCCUAUUGUUAAAAACUUUUUGGGCAAUUUCCAGCAAUUGGGUUAAAUUUAUUCUUUGGAAUCCCUUUAACUUCUGUAACUUUUUUUAAAUAUCUGCGGCUGACUGGGAAAUGAAAGCCAGAUUGAUGGCCUGCUGAUUUUCUGGAGCUUCAGGGUCAAUAGGAGUGUAGGUGUGAUAAGCGUCUUGUAGACGCUCAAGAAAGGCAGCUGGCGACUCCUGCGGGCCCUGAGUUACAGUUCCUACCUUGGAGAGGUUAGUGGGCUUGCGGGCCGCUCCCCUAACGCCUUCUGGUAGGUACCAGUGAAAAUCGUUUAGAGCCUGUAGACCCGCCGAGGUGUUUGGAUCCCACUGGGGUUGGGUGGAAGGGAAAGUUUUAUUAAUUUGCUCCUGGUGGUCCUCCACCGAGCCUCCCCCAUUCCAAUGAUGGCCUUAUGGGCCUCCUGUCUAAUUCUGCCCCUUUCUCCUGCAGUAAAUAGUACUAGCAGUAAUUGUUGACAAUCAUCCCAGGUGGGGUGGUAAGUUUGUAAGACAGAGUCUAGGAGCCCUGUGAGUUUCUGGGGCCUUUUAGAAAACAGAGAGUGUUGAGCCUUCCAAUUGCAUAAAUCACUAGAGGAGAAGGAGAUGUGGAUGAAGAAGGGGUGGCCCCGGCUACCUGCUUCCAUUGGGGGUACCUCCUGGAGGGGUAAUACCCUGGGUGGGCAUGGAACCCUACUACGCGUGUGGAGUGGGGACAAGGUCUGGCUACCAGUGCGGUUUGGAGAGGGAUGCUGAGACCCCUGUCCAGAGGGUCUAAAGUAAGGCGUAGGUAAUUUUAGAUUCUUUUCUGGGGUUGGGAGAAUGGCCCGUUCUGCAGGGGUCUUCUUUGGGCUGGCUAAUAUGACCUGAAGUCCAGCCUGUUUUAUGCAAUGCUUCAGCCAUGGGGGGUGGGGGAGGUUGUUGGAUUAAACCAUUGGUUGAUGUAUGGAAACUGGUCAGGAUAUCCAGGAGUUUUUGAGACUAUUUUCUAUACAGCCUGGGUAAUUUUUGGGUCAUAGGUUCCACUAUCUAGCCACCUAACUUCAAAAGACGGCCAUUAUAGUUCACAUAGAAAGUGGAGUUUCCUAGGGGUUAAUUUUACCCCAUAUUGGCCUGAGAACCCAGCCUUUUGGCUGUCAUGCAGGGGGUACAAGGCCAGGAGCUAGAUGACCCCAUUUUUUUUUUUUUUUAGCUUUUGAAUUUUCCCCAAAAUUUAAGACUGGCUUUACUGAGGAUUUGAACCAACAACCUUGCAGUUGCAAGCCCUAUACCUCAACUACUGUGCCAACAGGCCACUCAUCUUAAACAUACGCAGAAAGCUUUCUUAAGCCGUAUUUUGGAUGCAAAUACUGUAC